rnacentral:lncRNA from 1 species
GUGGACUUGAGCUCUGGCUCCACUUUUCUCUGUGUGACUGUGAGCAAGUCAUUUGAACCACUGUUUAAGCCUCCGUUUCCUACUCUGCGAAGUGGGAGUUUCCAUCUCAGACUGCCUUGGAGGAUCACAGGGUGAUAUCCUGUAAACAGGGUAUACCUGGUACCCAGGGCUACUCAGCAAGGCGAACUUCAACAUCACGUGGGUCUUGCACAACCCUUGUCAAAUAAUGGCCCAGCACGGGGGGACACAGGGGCCCAUGCUUCUCUUCCAGGUGGGGUCAAAGCUCUCUGAGUCCUUGGUGAUCUCAUCUUUCCCUGCUUUUCACCCCCUGGAUUUGUACUCUUUCCUCCUCCCAGGGCUGGCCUUGUGAGAGUCCCAGAUGCAGGAGGCGGUAGAAGUGACUCUUCCCAGGCAGAAUCUCAUUAGAGGAUUCCACAUUUCCUGAAGCCCUGCCCAUCAGAGCCAGCCUGUUACCAAUUACGGUACCUUCCGGUACUUAAGUGAGGGCAAAUAGAAAGAAUGGGAGCCGCUGAGACUGCUGGGUCUCAUGGCUUGGAAGGUGUGAACCUUGUUGCUCACAGUAAACGUUUUGGGGAUGAGCUUCUCACCACACUCUCGCCUAGCACCCUCUCUUCAGGAGGCUCGUCACUCUCUCGAAGGCAGCAUGUAGCAUGAAGGUAGGAGUCCUCCAUUAUGCUUGAAAAGCCAACACCCUGUGCCUGUUUCUUAUCUGUGAAAUAAGGGAGUUAGAACCUGGGACCUCUGGGAUUAGUGUGCUACUACGUUACUGAACUUGAAUGCUUGUAGGAGAAAAAAAUUGAAUCAUCAAGAUGGAGAGUACGCAACUCGGGGUGAUGGUGACCAAUCAAAGCUGGUUGGUUUUUGAAAUUACUUCCUGGGAAUGAACCAUUAGCAAGAGAUGUGGCUCUGUGGGCCUCUAAGAAGGAGAGGGCUGAGAAGUGACUCCUUUCUCAUAAUUCAUUUUCAUUCCAGAGAUGUUCUGGAUUGGGUGUAGUUGCAUCUUUCCAAAUGGCACUCAGCCUGGGCUUCUCAUUAGAGUUUUCUGGGGAGCUUUUGAAAAAUUUUGAUGCCCGGGUCACACCUCAGAAUCAUUAUGAAGGAAUUUCUGGGAGGGGUGUGAGACAUCCAUACUUCGUAAAAAUUGCCCUCGUGAUGCCAAUGUGUGGGUGAGGUGGAGAAGCAGAGCUCUAGACCAGCCCAUCUCCAACUUCCAUGGGCGCAGGAGUCACUGUGGAAUCUCGUGAAAGUAAAGAUUUUGACUCAGGCUGUAGUGGGGCAUGUCUAUGGGUUCUUCUAUGGGAAGCAUCCCAGACCACACUGCAGAGGCUUGGAUGGGGGGCUCAGCCACCUGGCUUCGCUGUCAGAACCUACAAGACCAUAGGACCCUGAGGCUGCAGAUAGCCAUCUGGGAAACUUCUCUGCCAACCCUCACCAGCAGAAUGGGCCUGGGAAGUGUGGGCGCAUUGGCUAGAGAAGGAGGAACCCUUACGUGCUUGUUCAACAGCUCAUUGGUGGAGAGAGCGUUGGUUAUGGAAAGGAUUUUUAAAAAUCCUGACUUGAAUGUUCUAUCUUGGGGGUAGGGGACAUUUCUUAAUUGGACAGCAUCUGGAGCUCUUCAUUAUGCUCUGGGAAUUACCCACUCUGACCAUUUUCUCCAGGCCACUGUCAUUCUUGGAGCCUAAAGGUGGCCAGAUAGUAUCUUUGCCCCUAUGACUGCUGAAGGAAGGAUUUUUGACUUUAGCUGGGACAAUUGGAUGCUUUUGCCUAACAUUUUGACUCGAAUGAUCAAUCAUCCAAAGGUGCGUGGACAGUUAGAGAUGAUUCAGGCAGCAGUGAGUAUGUCUAGGCCCAGUAAUGGUGGUGACACCAGUGGUGACCUGUGUCCAGCAGUGGUGGAAAUCACUAUUAGGAGACUGUCUUGGUUUGACUGGGCCAGGAUUCUGGACAUCAGGACAUGAUUGGUUUCAGGUGUUUCAGGAUUUUUGUGGGCUACUCAAUACCCUUCCAAUGGAAGUACUUUGUGCUUACAGUCUUGAUUUGUGCUGUGUGAAGUCAAGAAUUUGACGGGCACACGGGGCUGUCAUCACAUAAAUAACUCAUGCAGAAAGCCUAGAGUUCCACACCCCACACAGGAAACAACCAAUCAAUGUGAGCUGUGUUCAUGACCAUGAAGAAGAGGAGGAGGAGAAAGAGGAAGUGGGGACAGAGAGAAAUGAUAGGAGGAAGAGGAG